AUUGAACGCUAGCGGGAUGCUUUACACAUGCAAGUCGAACGGAGUGGCGGACGGGUGAGUAAUAUAUCGGAACGUGCCCAGUAGCGGGGGAUAACUACUCGAAAGAGUGGCUAAUACCGCAUACUAUCGGAGCGGCCGAUAUCGGAUUAGCUAGUUGGUGGGGUAAAGGCUCACCAAGGCGACGAUCCGUAGCUGGUUUGAGAGGAAGACCAGCCACACUGGAACUGAGACACGGCCCAGACUCCUACGGGAGGCAGCAGUGGGGAAUUUUGCACAAUGGGGGAAACCCUGAUCCAGCCAUCCCGCGUGUAUGAAGAAGGCCUUCGGGUUGUAAAGUACUUUUAGCAGAGAAGCGGUAUCUGCAGAAGAAGCACCGGCUAACUACGUGCCAGCCGCCGCAGUAAUAC
rnacentral:rRNA from 1 species